rnacentral:rRNA from 1 species
UGAGGAAUAUUGGUCAAUGGGCGAGAGCCUGAACCAGCCAAGUAGCGUGCAGGAUGACGGCCCUAUGGGUUGUAAACUGCUUUUAUGUGGGGAUAAAGUGCGUGACGUGUCAUGCAUUGCAGGUACCACAUGAAUAAGGACCGGCUAAUUCCGUGCCAGCAGCCGCGGUAAUACGGAAGGUCCGGGCGUUAUCCGGAUUUAUUGGGUUUAAAGGGAGCGUAGGCUGUCUAUUAAGCGUGUUGUGAAAUUUACCGGCUCAACCGGUGGCUUGCAGCGCGAACUGGUCGACUUGAGUAUGCAGGAAGUAGGCGGAAUUCAUGGAGUAGCGGUGAAAUGCUUAGAUAUCAUGACGAACUCCGAUUGCGCAGGCAGCUUACUGUAGCAUAACUGACGCUGAUGCUCGAAAGUGCGGGUAUCAAACAGG